UUCUCCUUCUUUCCCCCCAAUAGAUCUUGGUUUGGCGAUACCCGAUAUUCACCAUUCAUUACAAGGAGGGGUGCACCAUCCCCCUGACUGCUGCUUCUCCUACACCCCACGGAAGAUCCGAUGCGGAGUCAUGGAUGAUUAUUAUGUAACAACCAGUGGGUGCCCCAUGCCUGCUGUCAUCUUUCGCACCAAGCGGGGUAAGCAAGUCUGCGCAGACCCCAUGAGAAUCGAAGUUCAGGAUUGCAUGGAAACACUGGGCUCAGCCGAAGGAGCUGUACGUCUUUUCGCGUGAAACGAGAUGCGAUGCACCCACCUGCAUUCUCUCACCUCCUGGGAGUUUCUUGGCCUGAAUUCUUCCUUCAAAAGCAACAAAUAUUGUUCUGCUCACAUUAUAAACACUGUGUACCAAUAAAAAGUAUACAGUGUAACUGUACUUGACCUUUAAGAGGAGAAAGAAAUGUAGGAAUUG